UACGGAAGGGGCAAGCGUUGUUCGGAAUCAUUGGGCGUAAAGGGCGCGUAGGCGGUCGCGUGUGUCUGCUGUGAAAGCGCACGGCUCAACCGUGUGAAGUCGGUAGAAACUGCGGGACUUGAGGCUGGGAGAGGUUGGUGGAAUUCCCUGUGUAGCGGUGAAAUGCGUAGAUAUAGGGGAGAACACUCGUGGCGAAGGCGGCCAGAUGGACCAGCCCUGACGCUGAGGCGCGACAGCGUGGGGAGCAAACAGG
rnacentral:rRNA from 1 species